UGCUUUAUAAUAAAAUAUAUUUCAGGAUGCACAUGAUUGGUAGCACAAGACCAGAAGUGAACAGAUUGGGCUGAGGCUUGCCUGUGUGUAUGGUCACCAUGAUCAUAACCGCUGCUGGUAGAGGUAUGAUGUCUUGGCUGCCCAGUGAAGUGAAUUACCAAAUCAGGAAGAGCUCUUGGUAAAUUUGCAAGAAAGUCUUGAUUACAUAGUAGUUGCAGUCCCAGAAAAUUCAGUAUAUGUUAAACUUGUGACAAAAAUAAUUUCUUUUUUUAGUUUUAAAAAGAUGCUUUGCAUAAUGGAGUUAUACCUUAGGCUAAAAUAAUUAUAAAUAGAGUUUUCAAGUAUAUGCAUGUCCUUCAGAACCACAGAAAAUUAUUCAGGAUAUGGGUCAUUUUUAUUGUUGUUGCUGAUGGGAUUGACUAACUUAUUGUAAGACACCAAGUAUCCCUGGCCUCUGCCCAUUAAAUGUCAAAGAGACACUUUCCUUUAUUGUAACAACCAAAAAUAUUUCUGCAUUUUCCAAAAAGACCCCUAGUCUUUUUCACUGAGAACCACAAAGUUACUAGUAAUUGCUGUGGAGAUAUGAGCCUCUAUUCCAGAUUGACUAUCAUAUUUGGGUUCAAUUACAGUAAGUAGAUAGGCUAACAUCUUAAAUAUAAAAUAUGAUCUUUAUCAAAAGAUUAAUUUUGGGCCUUCUGGUACCUGAAAUCCUAACAGAUCUUUUAAUAAUGGACAUGUGACUAUUUCUAGUUUCAGAAUUUUUAGAACAAACAUGAUUGUUAUUUGGAAUUGUACUAAAAAAAAUCUUCUAAACAUCUGAACAAAUUAUCAUGACCUUAACCAAUAGGCAUUCCCUAAUAUUGAACUGAGAUGAAAAAGGAGAGUAAAAUAGCAAGUUAGGCUUGUGCUUUGGGGAGAAACGUAGUGGUGUAAACUGGGUUCCCCAGGAUAUUCUUUCUGACAAUGUUUCAUUUGCACAUUAUUGAUAAAGGGCUCUGGGGAUCAACAUUCAUGCAGUCAGCACUGGACAGAGGGGAGGGAAAGCUGUGAUAUGGGCUUGGUGUCCAUUCUGAAUGACUAAUGGGAUCUCUAGAGCUAGAAUGGACUAGGUUGUCCAAAUAUAUUUAGUCUCAGAGUGCUCAGUCUUUGGUUGUAGACUGCUCUAGGAAAGGGUUUGAACUUGAGCAAGCCUCUUUUAUGGGACCAAGGUGAUCCCUGAAGGGGCAAUAGCAGAAGACUGUCUGCUGACAGCAUGCCUAGCAAUCAGGACAACGGAUCCUUUACUAGAGAUGGGCAUAGGCCACAUGACAUAGUAUUCAACAUGUAGAUCUGGGUAUUUGCCCAAAUGGAAUUAAAUAUCCAGGUUGGCAAGCAGAGUCAUGAGAUCUAAUAUUUGGAUGGAAAGCUGAAGUUAGAACGUAUGGCAUAAGUCAUACUAAUAGCAGUACAUGCAAUGAUCAUUAUUCCAACAUGAUCUAGCUGUACUGAAAGUGGGAGUGGGAGUGCACUUCCUUCCUUCCUUCCUUCCUUCCUUCCUUCCUUCCUUCCUUCCUUCCUUCCUUCCUUCCUUCCUUCCUUCCAUUGUGUGGGAUGAAAUAGCAACUGAAAGAAAGGAAAAACCCAUUGUGAUGUAGGCAAAUAUAAAGAGUGGAAUUCCUGUGCUCUGAGGAAACAAGUUUUGGUUGUAGUUAAUAUGUUUCUCCUAUUUCCUUUUUGGGUCAUUUUUAGAGGAUUUGGAAAACCAAGCAGUUCUCUUCUCAAACUAAAGAAGUCCAAGAUCUGGGUCUCUUGAAAAGUAACUGUGGAACAGAUUACAGUCCUCCUGGAGAAAAGGAUCCUGUGGGAAGUUUCUUUUGUAUCCUUCAAUGUGUUCAGCAAAGGGUGGGCCACCAGGUGGCUCCUGAGCAAACAGAGAUCAACUGAUUGACUUGGCUUGAGAAGGUUCUGUUCCAAUUCACAUCCUGAAGUAAUAGACAUUAUCUUUUUUUUUUAAAUAUGUCUUAAUAAGAUCUCAUUUUCUUUUGCAUCUUAUGGUAAUGAAAAUGUCCCACUUCAAUAUGAAUUCCUAUCAACAUGAUAGUUCUUCCUCUUUUAAUCAGUACGUUUUGUAGCACUGUCAAAAUCUUAGGUCCUUCUGAGAAUUAACUCCUGUUUUUUUUUCCAGGGUGUCAAUGCCAUCUAUUCAUCUCUCUUAGAGACACCUGCCCUGUCAUCUUUUCUAUGGUCAUAACCAAAGGGACUAAAUAUAGCUAUGGGGCAACAUUAAUUAUUCUUAGGAAUGUGUUUGUAUGGUAGAAUCUGAAGUGCAGAAUUAAGAAGACAUCUUUUGCACAUGACAUCUUGUUUCAUCUGUGUUAUUUAAUUAGAGAUAACCUCACAUUAUUAAGACUCCUUCCUUUGGAUCAGAUGGUAUUUCUUUUCUUAAAUCUCUAUCUCAUGAACACCUAUAUUGAGCAAUUAUCAUUUCUCUUGGCACCUCAACCACAUGCAGAUAAUGUUCAACUCUCCUGGUUGACUCAUUAAUCUUAUGCAAACCAACAAUUUGAAAUCUUUGCUAUUUUUUCUUCAAAUCCGAAAAAGGAGACUUGUUUUUAAUUCAAUAAACUUGUUUUAAAAUAUCUUCCUUUUAAAGCUGUCAUGUGUUAAAGAAGAAAAUAACUUGAUACUUGUUCAAGAUGGUAAAACAGACUUUACUGAAGCGGAGCCAUGGAGAUGGCUGUAGGGACCACUGCAAUGGGGUUUUUCAGUGUGUGUGGUGGGGGAGAAGGGGAGAGAUUGGGCUCGCUUCCAGGACAAGCAGUGAUUUAUGCCUAAGGAGCAGUGUGGGGACAGUGGAAUGAAACUUACUAGGAAGAAACAUCAGGGGAAAGAGGGAUUCAUGAUAGAACAACUCAACGGAAUUCUUGUUGAAGGCAAGCCAGAGAGAGAAAAUCUUGAAGGUGCUCAGAUUUCUAGGGUGGGGGAUUUUGCUAAACUGACUAAGCAAGAUUAUUGCUCAAUAAGAAAUCCUAACAAGGAUAAAUGGGGAUUUGUUGCACCUUCAUUCCAGGUGAAGGAGAGGUAAGUGCAAAGAUCCUGAGGCAGGCAACCAGUUAUGUAAAUGAAGUAACGUGGAGAAGAGUGUGACUGUGGCUAAAGCCCAGAGAGAACUGGGGUAGAGACUAGUCAUAAUUGAAGUUAGGGAAGUACUGGGGUGUCUGAUCCUGUAGAAAUCUAGUCUCAAAAGCUCUCAUCUGGACCUUUAGUGAGAUGUAAGCCACAACAGAUUUUAAAGCGAUAUUAAGAGAUUGUUAUUAUAAUAUGUUCACUUUGCAGGUGUCAGAUUGUGUGAAGAUCUUAUUUGAAAAUAGAAAAACAGAAGCAAAACACUUGAAAAACAUUCCUAAACUGGAGUCAACCAUAAUUAAAUCUUGUUGUCUUUUCUAGGGGAAGAUGCUUUAAUUCUUUAUGCAUCACAGAUAGGGAAUUUCUUUUUAAUCCCUCACAUAAUCAUAAGGAGGCCACUCUGGUGGAUUUUUUUUUUUUAAUUAGAAAACUCUUCUAAAUUCCAGUAGUGGAAUUUGAAGUGGCAUGGGUAGUGGGAAAAGUACUAGAUUUUCUAUAGUUUGGGGUUCUUGCUCUCAUUUACUGAGAGCUCACCAAAUAAACUCACUGAAUUCUUUCAGAAACUCUAUCAGUCAGGUACAACAUUCCAAAGGUGUAAAGCUCUAAAUGGAGAAACUUCAGGUUAAAUAUUUUUAACACAUCCAAGGUCUAACUGGUAAUGAGAGGAGGAACCCUUAUUUAGGCAUAUGGGAUAUACAGUGGCUUCUGAUCUCAGUCUCACAUUCUUCCACCCCCCCCCCUGCAAAAAAAAAGAAUAGAUAAAUACAGGCUGGAGGUGUAGUUCAAUGAUAGAAUGUGUGCUUAGCAGGUGUGAGGCCCUGGAUUCCAUCCCCAGCACCAAGAAAGAAAGAGAAGAAAACAAAAGAGAGAAUAGAGAGAUUCCCACCUGGCCAAAGGAGGAGUUUUGAUAGAGAAAAGGUGCCUAGACCAUAUGUACUACACUGGACUUCUUCCAUACUGAUGGGCUUAGGAGUCUCCUUACUUUCAGGAUCUGUAUUGCUGAGUACCUAAAUUUUUAUUUUGUACUUGGUUAAAAUGGUCCCUUAAAUUUUUCUUUUCAUCUUGCUCUUUUCUCCUGCUUAGACCACAAACAUCUUCUAUCCCCACAUCAUACAUCACUAAUGGCAGUAGUCCCUGACUUUCCCGUGCUCAUAUAUAAAUAUAUGUAUUUCCUUUGCUUUGCAAAAACAGUACCACAUUAUAUAAGCUUCUCUGCAUGUUGUCGCUUGACAUUGGAAAAAUCUCUCCAUUAGCUGAUAUUCAGUGGUUUCCCUGUUGAAGGCAUUUCAUGUAUUUGCAAUUCUUUUGUAUUUCAGUAAAUGUACUUCAACAUAUAUUCUUACCUAAUGAUGCUUUUAUUAUUGAUAUGGAUUCCCAGGAAUAACAUUACUAGAACUAGGCUAUGUACAGUUUUAAUUUAUAAACUCUCUGUAUUACUUUCAAAGAUGUUCUGCAGCAAUUUGUAUUUGCAGCAGCUUGUUUUAAUUGUUUACCUGAAUCCUCACCAGCAGUAGGUGUUACCUCUCCUUUUAAUUUUUCUAAUCUUAUUGAUGUAAAAUGUCUUAUAGUAUUCUAAUUUGCCUUUUUUGCUAUGGAGAUUUUUAUAAGUUUAUUGGUAAUUAAGGUGAGUACAUGAGAUGUCUAUGUAAAUGCUUCUUAUGUAUAUUGGGUGUUAUAACUAUAUUUUUUUAAUUGAAGCAAAAUUAACAUAAUAUUUAACCAUUUCAGCACCCUGAAAUGAAACCAUGUUCCUAUUAAAUAGUUGCUCCCUAUUCUUUUUCCCCAUUCCCUGGUAACCACCAUUCUGCUUUUUGUCACUAUGGAUUACUUAUUUUGGACAUUUCAUAUAAAUAAAAUCCUACAAUGAGUCA